CGCCGGACACCGCGCGACGGACGGUCGUGAACCCCGUCAGGUCCGGGAGGAAGCAGCGGUAAGCGAUGCGGUUCGUGUCGCGGAUUGCUCUGGACCGG
rnacentral:SRP_RNA from 1 species